ensembl:lncRNA
CUAUGACAGAUGAUGCUGAGCCCCGGAGUUGGAUGCAGUGAUCCUGCAGUGAUGUCAGUGCGCCUGCAGUGCCAAUUCAGCUGGAUGAAGUGUUGCUGCAGUGGUUGCAGUGCUCCCUGCAUUGUCCAGGAAUGUGGAUGCAGUGCCCACGCGGUGGAUGCAGUGUCCCACAAGGUGGAUGAAGUAUGUUAUGACGGAUGAUGCAGUACUCAUGAAGGUGGAUGCAGUGUCCCUGCAGUGCUUGCAGUGCCCCCCGCAUUCUCUGGGAAUGUGGAUGCAGUAGUCAUGCAGUGGAUGCAUUGUCCCACAAGGUGGAUGCAGGAUGGUGUGACAGAGGAUGCAGGGCCCCUGAAGGUGGAUGCAGUGAUGCUGCAGUGGUUGCAGUGCCCCCUACAGUUCCCUGAAUGUGGAUGCAGUGCCCAUGCAGUAGUUGCAGUGUCCCACAAGGUGGAUGUCGUAUGUUGUGAUGGAAGAUGCAGUGCCCAUGAAGGUGGAUGCAGUGUCCCUGCACUGGUUGCAGUGCAACUGGCAUUGUCCUGGAAUGUUGAUGUAGUGCCAAUGCAGUGGAUGCAGUGAAACUUCAGUGAUUGCAGUGUGCAUGCAGUGCCACUUCAGCUGUAUGCAGUGCAGCUGCAGUGGUUGCAGAACGGCCUGCCAUGUGCCUGAAUGUGGAUGCAGUGCCCAUGCAGUGGAUGCAGUGUCCCACAAGGUGCAUGCAGUAUGUUGUGAUGGAGGAUGCAGUGCCCAUGAGGGUGGAUGCAGUGAUCCGGCAGUGGUCCAGUGCACCAUGCUGUGUCCCUGAUGUGGAUGCUGUGAACAUGCAGUGGAGGCAGUGACCCUGCACUGAUUGCAGUGCAUCUGCAUUUCCACAUCAGCUGGACGCAGUGCCCCUAUAGGGGUUGCAGUGCCACCUUCUGUGUCCCUGAAGGUGAAUGCAGUGCCCAUGUAGUGAAUGUAGUGUCCCUAUAGGUUUAUGCUGUAUGUCAUGACGGAGGAUGCAGUCCGCAUGAAGGCAGUUGCAGUGUCCCUGAAGUAGUUGCUGGGCCCCCGGCAUGGUGCUGUAAUGUGGAUGCAGGGGUCAUGCAGUGGAUGCAGUGUCUCACAAGGUGGAAGCAGUAUGUUUUGUUGGAGGAUGCAGUGCCCAUGAAGGUGGAUGCAGUUAAUCUGCAGUGGUUGCAGUGCCCCCUACACUUUCCCUGAAUCUGGAUGCAGUGCCCAUGCAGUGCAUGCAGUCUCCCACAAGGUGGAUGCGGUAUGCUGUUACGGAGGAUGCAGUGCCCAUGAAGGUGGAUGCAGUGAGCCUGAAAUGAUUGCAGUGCGCUUGCAGUGCCACGUCAGCUGGAUGGAGUGUUGCCUCAGUGGUUUCAGAGCCACCUGCAGUGUCUCUCAACGUGAAUGCAGACCCCUUCCAGUGGAUUCAGUGUACCAAUAUGCAUGCAGUAUGUUGUGACGGAGGAUGCAGUGGCCAUGAUGGUGGAUGCAGUUAUCCUGCAGUGGUUGCAGUGCCCACUGCAGUUUACCUGAAUGUGGAUGCAGUGCUCAUGCAGUGGAUGCAGUGUCCCUCAAGGUUGAUGCCUUAGUGAUGUGUUUGAGGAUUCAGCGAUCAUGAGCAAGGAUGCAGUGAUCCUGCAGUCAUUGCUGUGCGACUUCAGCUGGCUGCAGUGUUCCUGCAGUGGUGGCAGUGCCCUGUUCUGUUCCCUGAAUGUGGAUGCAGUGCCCAUGCAUUGGAUGCAGAGUACCAAAAGUUGGCUGCCGUAUGUUGUGACAGACGAUGCAGAGCCAUGGAUUUGGAUGCAGUGAGCUGGCAGUGACUGCAGUAUGCCUUCAGUGCCACUUCAGCUGGAUGCAGUGUUGUUGCAGUUGUUGCAGUGCCCCCAGGAGGGUCCCUGAAUGAGAAUGCCAUGCCCUUUCAGUGGAUUCAGUGUCCCACAAGGUGGAUGCAGUAUGUUAUUACGGAUGAUGCAUUGGCCAUGAAGGAGGAUGCAGUGAUUCUGCACUGAUUGCAGUGCAUCUGCAGUGCCACUUCAUCUGGCUGCAGUGUGCCUUCAGUGGUUGCAGUGACACCUUCUGUGGCUCUGAAUAUGAAUGAAGUGCCCAUGCAGUGGAUGCAGAGUACCAAAUGAUGGAUGUGGUAUGUUGUCACAGAGGGUGCAUUGCACAUGAGGGUGCAUGCAAUGUUGCUGCACGGGUUGUCGUGACCCCAUCUGUGUCCCUCAUUGUGGAUGCAGUUGCCAUGCAGUGGAUGCAGUGUCACACAAGGCAGAUGCAGUAUGUUGUAAUGGAGCAUGCAGUGCCCAUGAAUGUGGAUGCAGUGAUCCUGCAGUGAUUGCCGUGCACCUGUAGUGCCACUUCAGCUGGAUCCAGAGUCCCUGCAGUGGUUGCAGUGCCUGUUGCCCUAUCCCAGAACGUGGUUGCAGUGCCCAUGCAAUGGCUGUAGUGUCACUGAAGGUAGAUGCAGUAUGUUGUGACAGAGGAUGCAGUGCCCAUUGAGGUGGAUGUAGUGAUCCUGCAGUGGUUUCCCAUACACUCUGUAGUUUCCCUGAAUGUGGAUGCAGUGAACAUGAAGUGGAUGCAGUGAACAUUCAGUGAUUGCGGUCAACCUGCAGUUCCGCCUCAGCUGCAUACAUUGUCCCUGCAGUCAUUGCAGUGCUGCCUGCAUUGUCUGGGAAUGUGGAUGCAGUUCGCAGGCAGUGUAUGCAGUGACACAAAAGUUCGAUGCAGUAUGUUGUGACAUAGGAUGCGGUGCCCAUGAAGGUGGAUGCAGUCAUCCUUCAGUGGUUUCCAUGUAUACUGCACUGUCCCUGAAUGUGGAGGCAGUGAACAACCAGUGGAUGCACUGAACAUUCAGUGAUUGCAGUGCACAUGCAGGGCAACUUCAGCUGUAUGCAGUGUCCCUGCUGUGGGUGCAGUGCCCAAUGCAUCAUCCGAGAAAGUGGAUGUAGUGCCCAGGCAUUGGAUACAGUGUCCAACAAGGUGCAUGCAGUAGGUUGUGAUGGAGGAUGCAGUGCCCAUGAGGGUGGAUGCAGUGAUCCGGCAGUGAUUGCAGUGCACCCUGCUGUGUCCAUGAAUGUGCAUGCUCUGAACAUGCAGUGGAUGCAGUGAUUUCAGUAUGCCUGCAUUUCCACAUCAGCUGGAAGCAGUGUCCCUGCAGGGGUUGCAGUACCGCCUUCUGUGUCACUGACGAUGAAUGCUGUGCCCAUGCAGUGGAUGCAGGGUACCUAAAGUUUUAUGCAGUAUGUUGUGACGGAGGAUGCAAUGCCGAUGCAGGGGGAUGCAGUGCCCCUCCAGUGGUUGCAGUGCCCCCGGCAUUGUCCUGAAAUGUUGAUUCAGUGCCAAGGCAGGGAAUGCAGGGAAACUUCAGUGAUUACAGUGAGCCUACAGUGACACUUCAGCAGGAUGCAGUGUAGGUGCAGUGGUUGCAGGGCCCCCUGCCAUGUCCCUGACUGUGGAUGCUGUGCCCAUGCAGUGUCUGCAGUGUGACUCAAGGUGGAUGCAGUAUGUUCUGAAGCAGGAUUCAGUGAACAUGAAGGACGAUGCAGUGAUCCUGCAGUCAUUGCAGUGCACCUGCAGUGCCACUUCAUCAGGAUCCAGAUUGCCUGCAGAGGUUACAGUGCAGCAUGCUGUGUCCCUGAAUGUGAAUGCUGUGAAGAUGCAGUGGAUGCAGUGAUCGUGCAGUGAUUGCAGUGCACCUGCAUUUCCACAUCAGCUGGAAGCAGUGUUGCAGCAGUGGAUGCAGGGCCAACUGCAGUGUCCCAGAACGUGGAUGCAGUCCCCAUGCAGUGGAUGCAGUGUCCCACAAUGUGCAUGCAGUAUAUUGUGACGCUGGAUGCAGGGCCCAUGAAGGUGGAUGCAGUGAUGCUGCAGUGGUUGCAGUGCCCCCUACAGUUCCCUGAAUGUGGAUGCUGUGAACAUGCAUUGGAUGCAGUGAUCCUACAGUGAUUGCAGUGCCCCCUACAGUUCCCUGAAUUUGGAUGCAGUGCCCAUGCAGUAGUUGCAGUGUCCCACAAGGUGGAUGUCGUAUGUUGUGAUGGAAGAUGCAGUGCCCACGGAGGUGGAUUCAGUGAGCCUGUGCUGAAUGCACUGUGCCAGCAGUGCCACCUCAGCUGGAUGCAGUGUUGCUGCAGUGGUUGCAGUGACCCCUGCAUUGUCUGGGAAUGUGGAUCCAAUGCCCAGCCAGUGGAUGCAGUGUGCCUGUGCUGAAUGCACUGCACCUGCAGUACAUCAGCUGUAUGCAGUGUCCUGGCAGUGUUUUCAGUGCUCACUGCAUCGUUCAAGAAUGUGGAUGCUGUACCCAGGCAUUGGAUGCAGUGUCCCACAAUGUGCAUGCAGUAUGUUGUGAUGGAGGAUGCAGUGCCCAUGAGGGUGGAUGCAGUGAUCUGGCAGCGGUUCCAG